UCCCUGUGGCUCAGUUGGUAGAGCAUGGUGUCUGCAACACCAGGGUUGUGGGUUCGAUUCCCACGGGGAG
rfam:Salmo salar isolate Sally breed double haploid chromosome ssa03, whole genome shotgun sequence.